rnacentral:lncRNA from 1 species
GAGCUUGGACGCAAGGCUUCCAUGAGGCUGUGAAGGAGGUUGCACGGAAACUGGUGGGGAUCUGAAAAGCUUUUAGUGGCCUCGCCACACACAGCACUUCAGAUGCUCAGGUGAUGAGCAACAUUUUCCAAACCCAGCUAGUGAGCACCCCACCUCCUCUGGCUUCCAGAACCUGGUGUGGAGGGCCAGGAGAGGCUUCGGGACUGAAGGGCAGAGCAGCAGACUCCGGGGCUCAUGUAGGAAGGAACAUGCCUUCAGCCAAAGAUUAUCCACGCUGCAUGGAGACUCUUGCUAAAUAUCACUGAUGGAAUCUCACUCUGUCGCCCACGCUGCAGUGCAGCGGCAUGAUGUCGGCUCACUGCAACCUCCACCUCUCGGGUUCAAGUGAUUCUCCUGCCUCAGCCUCCUGAGUAGCUGGUAUUAUAGGCGUGCGCCACCACACCCUGCUAAUUUUUGUAUCUUUAGUAAAGAUGGGGUUUCAC